UACGUAGGGUGCAAGCGUUGUCCGGAAUUAUUGGGCGUAAAGGGCGCGUAGGCGGCUUGGCAAGUCGGAAGGUGAAAUCCCUCGGCUCAACUGAGGAACUGCCCUCCAAACUGCUUUGCUUGAGGCCGGGAGAGGUAAGUGGAAUUCCCGAGUGUAGCGGUGAAAUGCGUAGAUAUUGGGAGGAACACCAGUGGCGAAGGCGGCUUACUGGACCGGUUCUGACGCUGAGGCGCGAAAGCGUGGGGAGCAAACGGG
rnacentral:rRNA from 1 species